UACAGAGGUCUCAAGCGUUGUUCGGAUUCAUUGGGCGUAAAGGGUGCGUAGGUGGCGCUGUAAGUCGGGUGUGAAAUUUCGGAGCUUAACUCCGAAACUGCAUUCGAUACUGCGGUGCUUGAGGACUGGAGAGGAGACUGGAAUUCAUGGUGUAGCAGUGAAAUGCGUAGAGAUGUGGAGGAACACCUGUGGCGAAGGCGCCUUGCUGGCCGAUUUCUGACGCUGAGGCGCGAAAGCGUGGGGAGCAAACAGG
rnacentral:rRNA from 1 species